rnacentral:lncRNA from 1 species
GCCAAAUGGAUGGUGUGGAGACAGGAGAGUGGAGGAUUGGGUUUUCUGGAGAGAAGACACUGCUGAACCAAAUCUAACUACUGCAGGGAAGUUAGUCACACUUCCCAAAGCAAAGAAAGACUAAUGGUUCUGCAAAGGUGGAAAAAAGAGGGAAAGGAUGGGGUAAAGAAGAAUCCCUGCAAAAAGUGACUGACCUAAGAAACUCUGCAGUAGGGUGCAUGGGAAAAUGCAUCUGGCAUCGACCAUUUUGGGAACCACAAAAACUCUCUGAACCUCGGGUCUUCUAUGUUGUUGGGCUUGCUUGACUUUGCUCCUGAGAGCUCUCAAAUGUCCAAGGGCACAGCAGUCAGCAUCUGUGGAUGUCUAAGGCCGGUUCCCUGCUUCUGAAGCUAUCCGGGAAGAUGGGUGAGAGUCCAGCCGUGCUGGGAAAGGGUGCCGGGAGCCCUUAGAUCUCAACUCAAACACCAUGUUCCUCUUCCAGUUAUUCUGUCAGAGAUCUGAGCUCCACCCAGCUUUACUGCUGUAUAUACACAGCUAUCCCUUUUAGGAUCCAAUAAACCUAACUUCCUGUUUAGGUUCUAUUUUUCCAGGGGGGCAAAUUGCUAGCUGC